GUCUAUGGCCAUACCACCCUGAAUGCACCUAGUCUCGUCUGAUCUUGGAAGCUAAGCAUGGUCGGGCCUGGUUAGUACUUGGAUGGGAGAGUGAGCCAAUGAGGAGAAAGUACUAGUAUGAUAUAGGCU
rnacentral:rRNA from 1 species